rnacentral:rRNA from 1 species
AUUGAACGCUUGCGGCAGGCCUUACACAUGCAAGUCGUGCGAGCGGCGGACGGGUGAGUAAUGUAUGGCGAUCUGCCUGAUGGACGCGGCUAGCUACUGUAAACGGUAGCUAAUACCGCAUACCAUCAGAUGACCCCAUCUGGGUUUAGCUGUUAGGUGAGGUAACGGCUCACCUAGGCGACGCUCCCUAGCUGGUCUGAGAGGAAGAUCGGACACACUGGGACUGGGACACGGCCCAGACUCCGACGGGAGGCAGCAGUGGGGAAGAUUGGACAAUGGGCGCAAGCCUGAUGCAGCCAUGCCGCGUGUAUGAAGAAGGCCUGCGGGUUGUAAAGUACUUUCAGUCGGGAGGCGUUACCGACAGAAGAAGCACCGGCUAACUCCGUGCCAGCAGCCGCGGUAAUUC